rnacentral:rRNA from 1 species
CCAUGCAGUCGAACGGCAGCACGGGUGCUUGCACCUGGUGGCGAGUGGCGAACGGGUGAGUAAUACAUCGGAACGUACCUUAUCGUGGGGGAUAACGCAGCGAAAGCUGUGCUAAUACCGCAUACGCCCUGAGGGGGAAAGCGGGGGAUCGAAAGACCUCGCGCGAUUAGAGCGGCCGAUGCCUGAUUAGCUUGUUGGUGGGGUAAAAGCCCACCAAGGCGACGAUCAGUAGCUGGUCUGAGAGGACGAUCAGCCACACUGGGACUGAGACACGGCCCAGACUCCUACGGGAGGCAGCAGUGGGGAAUUUUGGACAAUGGGGGAAACCCUGAUCCAGCAAUGCCGCGUGAGUGAAGAAGGCCUUCGGGUUGUAAAGCUCUUUUGUCAGGGAAGAAACACCGGCUCUAACACAGUCCGGGAAUGACGGUACCUGAAGAAUAAGCACCGGCUAACUACGUGCCAGCAGCCGCGGUAAUACGUAGGGUGCGAGCGUUAAUCGGAAUUACUGGGCGUAAAGCGUGCGCAGGCGGUUAUACAAGACAGGCGUGAAAUCCCCGGGCUUAACCUGGGAAUGGCGCCUGUGACUGUAUAGCUAGAGUGUGUCAGAGGGGGGUAGAAUUCCACGUGUAGCAGUGAAAUGCGUAGAUAUGUGGAGGAAUACCAAUGGCGAAGGCAGCCCCCUGGGAUAACACUGACGCUC